rnacentral:rRNA from 1 species
AGUGAACGCUGGCGGUAGGCCUAACACAUGCAAGUCGAACGGCAGCACAGUAAGAGCUUGCUCUUACGGGUGGCGAGUGGCGGACGGGUGAGGAAUACAUCGGAAUCUACUUUUUCGUGGGGGAUAACGUAGGGAAACUUACGCUAAUACCGCAUACGACCUACGGGUGAAAGCAGGGGAUCUUCGGACCUUGCGCGAUUGAAUGAGCCGAUGUCGGAUUAGCUAGUUGGCGGGGUAAAGGCCCACCAAGGCGACGAUCCGUAGCUGGUCUGAGAGGAUGAUCAGCCACACUGGAACUGAGACACGGUCCAGACUCCUACGGGAGGCAACAGUGGGGAAUAUUGGACAAUGGGCGAAAGCCUGAUCCAGCAAUACCGCGUGGGUGAAGAAGGCCUUCGGGUUGUAAAGCCCUUUUGUUGGGAAAGAAAAGCAGCAGGUUAAUACCCCGCUGUUCUGACGGUACCCAAAGAAUAAGCACCGGCUAACUUCGUG